rnacentral:rRNA from 1 species
GCGGCAACAGCUCAGAUUUGAAAUCUCUGUCGGGGGGGGAAUUGUAAUCUGUAGAAGGUUGAAUGGCUGAAUAUCUGAUUUAAGUUCCCUGGAAUAGGACAUCAUAGAGGGUGAGAAUCCCGUGAUUUUCAGAAGCUAAGCCAAUUAAUUCACCUUUCGACGAGUCGAGUUGUUUGGGAAUGCAGCUCUAAAUGGGUGGUAAAUUUCAUCUAAAGCUAAAUACCUGCCAGAGACCGAUAGCGAACAAGUAGAGUGAUCGAAAGAUGAAAAGCACUUUGAAAAGAGAGUUAAAAAGUACGUGAAAUUGUUGAAAGGGAAGCGCUUGCAAUUAGACUUGAUAUUUAAAUUCAGCCAACCUUUGGGUUCGGUCUACUUUUUAUUUAUCAGGCCAGCAUCAGUUUGGCGGGAUUUAUAAGGGCAGUUGGAAUGUAGUAAAUGCUUCGGUAUUUAUGUUAUAGCCUCCUGCAGCAUUAUAUCCAUGCCGGACUGAGGUCUGCUCUUCGGAAAGGA